rnacentral:lncRNA from 1 species
AUGGCUGAGUUACGCCCACCAAGGCAACAUAACAUCCAGACAGCAACCCCAAGGGCAAAGUGAGGAGGAUUUUCUGAUUAUGUCAUCAAACAGGAAACCUCAUGGAGACUCUGGGAUUAAUGUAUUUUCCACUGGAGCUGAAAGCAGGCAGGAUAUAGUCACUGGAAGAGAGAGAGGGAGGGGAAAGUGCUGGUAGGGGUGGAGGUGGUGUCUUUAAUAUGACAUUUAAAGAAAUCACUCAUGUAUUCACAUCUAAAGCCUCCAAGCAAAUAAAGACUUUGAAACUUCAGUUGACUGUGGUAAUAAGCAAAUUGCAGAGGCAUGGGGUACGCACCCCACAAAGCGCUUCUCUAAACCAUGGCACCAUUCUUGCUCCAGAUGGCAUGGAAAAUAAUUUAUAAAUGACAAAAGUUCAUUGGGUGUGUGGCAGCUGUUCAUUUCGAGCUCUUUGGCCACCCACUUCAGUAGAACUGAGAGCUUUCAAUCAACUCUUGUCUCUCGGAGGGCCUUCAAACAGCAUCAGAACAUGUGUACAAUAUGUUCUCACAAAGUCGCUGGCCAAAUAUGAAAGAUUACAAAAUCAAGUUAAAUCGAAAUGGAAAAUACAAAUAUAUACCAUUUUCUCUGAAUUCUGUGAUACCAAGCAUGGGCUAGCAAGGGACUCGAGUUUUCAAAACCAAACUUUGCGUGGUCUUUCUUUUUUGUCCCCUUCACAUGUACUCACAGCUUCCUUUCCCAUCAAAUGAAAAGUACCUCACAUUUUGGCAGGUAUUUUAAUGGGAGUCAACACCACACUUCAUCGACUCCAACAGCCCCUUACAUUAACAAAGCGCUCCAGCUUAGCCAUGAACCAACUGCUACUUUGAAACAGGCCAUCAUCCACUUAAUCCUUCUGUUCUGAGCCUCCAAACAAAGCCCACAAAUUCUAAAGGACCACCAAGUCGCAAAAUAAAUAUUUCUGCCCGUUUAUUUGGGAAGGGUGGCUUGAUUGCUAUUCAAGUCUGGAUAAAUCAUUGACCAAAACAGAAAGGGGAGUAGAAAUGAUUAUAUUAACUUAAUUAUUGGAGUUACUUCAAACCAAAGUGAAUCAUAAUGACAAAGAGAACCUAAACAAUUUGGCAAAAGAGCCACUUCCAAGCAUGGCAACCACAAGAGGUAAAGUGACCAUUUAGGCAGGGAAAAUUUUUAGGCGAGUAAACAUUGUAAAGCCAUCUGCCGGACAGACUCGUCAACACGCACUGACCACAGAGGCUUUCCAAGGGUUAAGGUGACCAGGUUGGAACCGGAUAGACUGUGGAAGGAUGAUGAACAGACGACACCCUUUUGUAAACUACCUAACACAGGAAACGAAGAUCUUAUCACUGUAGGCACCAGCCCAACCACUCACUCCUGCUUCUGUCCUCUCCAAAUAGCAUUCUCUUCACUGAGGAGGCUUGCUAAGGCCUGGGAGGUAGCUCUCCCGAAUAAUAUGUCUGGGGUCUGGUGGGGGGAAAAAAAAUCGUACUGAGCUAACCUACAGCAAACAAUUUUAGGUGAAAAUUUUAACAAUCAAAAAAGAUUUUGUGAGGACCUGUCAUGGCUCAGCAGUUAGUGAACCUGGCUAGCAUCCACGAGGACAUGGGAUCAAUCCCCAGCCUCACUCUGUGGGUUAAGGAUUCUGGGUUGCUGUGAGCUGUGGUGUAGGUUGCAGAUGCGGCUCGAAUCCCACGUUGCUGUGGCUCUGGUGUAGGCCAGCGGCUACAGCUCCGAUUUGACCCCAAGCCUGGGAACCUCCAUAUGCUGUAGAUGUGGCCCUAAAAAGACAAAAGACCAGAAAAAAAAAAAAAAAGGAAAAAAAAAAGAUUUUGAAGAACAUCAAUACCAUUUAGAAACAAGUGUCCUUCAAGUUCAUAUUCAGUUUCACAUAAGCCCUUAGAGCAUGCCUGUCCAGUUUAUUACGAUUCAGAUAAUGGUGCAGCUUAUGAAUUAUCUUUUAUACGUGGCUCUACUCGUUCAUCUAGAAAUGCAAAACACAAGAGUUAUCAAAAGUUGGUCAAAUAUUGUACGCCUGGAGGGAGUAACAUCAGGACAAACAUUAAAAAUCCAGUCAUUUUCUCUUUUUUAAAACAUGUUUUCUACACUUUCCAGCUGUUACAAGGGAUGAAAAAUCAGAAAUGCAGAGUUUUCUUUUCAAAUAGUAAAGGCGUCUGGACACCUACCCAGAGUUGAGCAGUAGAUAGAUCUGGCAAAUGUUAAAAUUAUUCUGAAGAUACUGUAAGGAUUACAUUUCAUAUCCAACAAAUUUUAUUCGCUGUGCAAAAUAUCUGUAGUUAAACAAAUUAUUCCAAACUCGGGACUGAAUACACUCAAUAAAGCUGUCAAAGAACAAGGAUCCGUUGUCUCUUUUCUCUGCCUCAAGGAACUUGGACAGACAGCCACCAGUCUGCUGAACUCUCUGUGGACCUCAAGGGUGAAUUUCUGUAGGACAAUCUCUAGACUGCAAAAUGAGCUUAAACAAGUGGUUCUGUAACUUUAGACUCCCUAUGUUAGGAUAUUACACUGAAUUCCAAGUUUGAGUCUGGGGCUGCUUCAUACCAAGUCCACUCGCCACAGAUACAACCCAUCAAAAGCAGCAGUGCAAGGUAGUCAAUACAAUUAGAGUAUUUUAGAAUACAUAUUCUAAAACAAGGUUAAACUAUUGUAGCCAGUGCUGUUAUAUAUGCUACAGCAAACGACAUAAUCAAGAGUUGCUUUUGUGGAACUGGAUGUUAUCUCCCUGAAUUUCCAAAGCACACUACACAUACCAGAACUUUAUCCAACAAAAUCUGGCUACAUUUUAUGGCAAUAACCCAGUUCAACAUGUUUUAAUCCAAAUAAGCAGAUUAUUAAAAGCAGAUCAUCAGUACCUGACUUUACGAUUUACCAUAACACUACAGUAAUCAAGACGGUGUGGUACUGGUGAAAGGACAGACAGCAGACCAUUGGAACAGAGAUAGACAGUGGACCAUUGGAACAGAAUGGAGAGUCCAGAAAUAGACUUACACAAAUACAGUCAAAUACUGGUCGUUGACAAAGGAGAAAAGGCAAUGCUAAUGAAUCUGACCAGGAUCCAGGAGGACGUGCGUUGGAUCUUGGCCUCACUCAGUGGGUUGCUGUAAGCUGCGGUCUAAGAGGCAGAUGCAGCUCAGAUCUGGCAUUGCUGUGGCUG